rnacentral:tRNA from 1 species
GUCCCUUUCGUCUAGUGGUUAGGACAUUGCCCUUUCACGGUAAUAACACGGGUUCAAAUCCCGUAAGGGAUA